rnacentral:rRNA from 1 species
CAUCUAAAAAAAGUUGCUGAUAAACAUAGAGCUCCCCCACUUCAAGACCCCCGAGUUUGGAAGUAAAAAUGUAACAAGGUUUCCGUAGGUGAACCUGCGGAAGGAUCAUUACCGAGUGAGGGCCCUCUGGGUCCAACCUCCCACCCGUGUUUAUUUUACCUUGUUGCUUCGGCGGGCCCGCCUUAACUGGCCGCCGGGGGGCUUACGCCCCCGGGCCCGCGCCCGCCGAAGACACCCUCGAACUCUGUCUGAAGAUUGUAGUCUGAGUGAAAAUAUAAAUUAUUUAAAACUUUCAACAACGGAUCUCUUGGUUCCGGCAUCGAUGAAGAACGCAGCGAAAUGCGAUACGUAAUGUGAAUUGCAAAUUCAGUGAAUCAUCGAGUCUUUGAACGCACAUUGCGCCCCCUGGUAUUCCGGGGGGCAUGCCUGUCCGAGCGUCAUUGCUGCCCUCAAGCACGGCUUGUGUGUUGGGCCCCGUCCUCCGAUCCCGGGGGACGGGCCCGAAAGGCAGCGGCGGCACCGCGUCCGGUCCUCGAGCGUAUGGGGCUUUGUCACCCGCUCUGUAGGCCCGGCCGGCGCUUGCCGAUCAACCCAAAUUUUUUAUCCCAGGUGACCUCGGAUCAGGUAGGGAUCCCCCAGU